CAUGUAGGCGGUUGGGUAAGUCAGAUGUGAAAUCCCUUGGCUCAACCAAGGAAGGGCAUUUGAAACCGCCCGGCUUGAGUACGGGAGGGGGAAGCGGAAUUCCCGGUGUAGAGGUGAAAUUCGUAGAUAUCGGGAGGAACACCAGUGGCGAAGGCGGCUUCCUGGACCGAUACUGACGCUGAGACGCGAAAGCGUGGGGAGCAAACA
rnacentral:rRNA from 1 species